ensembl:snoRNA LOC120101280 small nucleolar RNA SNORA17
ACUGCACCUAGAGGAAUUGCAGAUGUGACUGCUGUGUCACACAUGCAUCAGUAGGUAGCAGAGAGGUGAGAGGCCAUGUCUACGCUCAGUGUUCUGACCUCUGAACAUCUGAACAAUUAGUAGCCUAAUAUU